UCUUGAUCGUAGAGGAGAGGCAUCUAAAAGGAUAGUGGGCAGGGGUCUGUGAAGAGAGGGGUUGUGAGGGAGGAAAGAACCCCUUUAAGAGAAGGAGGCUGCUGUUGUGUGAAUUAGAUGAGGAAACAAGAUGAACAAGAACUGUUAACUCUUGAAGGGAGAGAGAGAGAGAAAGAGAGAAAGAAAGAAAGAAGGGAGGGGGAAGAAAGACAGAGGCGAAGAGCAAGUGGAGGAGAGAGAGAGACAAAGAAGGGAGGGGAAGAGAGAGAGAAGGAAGGGCGAGGGACUGGCACAAGCCUGUCAGCAGCCUGAGGGGAACGAGUGGUUAUGGUGGCAGCGGCAGCAAGGAAGGUCCCAGUCAACCACUGCUGCUGUUUGGGGCUACCAAAGCCAUUCCGGAAGGAGGCAGGCAGGCAGGCAAGGGACGGACCUGGGCCUGUCAGCGGCCUCAGGGGAACGAGCGGCCAUAGCGGUGGUGGCAGUGGGGAAGAGCCCGGUCAACCACUGCUGCUGCUGCUGAGGGGAGGAGCAGGACUUGGGUGAGAGUGGAGAGGUCUCUGGGGAUAGGGGGCUGCAGCUUGGCCAAUAGGCGCCAGCAAUGCUGCAGCUGCGACCAAGUGGGUGAGGGCUUAGGGGAUGGAGCAGGAGUGGAGAGAUCUCUGAGGUGAGGAGGGCUGUGGCAGUGGGUGAGGGGAGCAAACAAGUACUAGUGCACAGAUGCUCUGCACAAGUUAAGCUAGUUACACCUAUUCUGAAAGAGCUGGUUGCCACGUUGUUUCCAGAUCCAAUUCAAGAUGGCCGGUCUUAAGAUACUGGAAGAUGCUCUGGUCUACAUGCAGCGUAGACGGACUCACUAGUGUGGAUCAUGUUCUUCCACUGGGGCUGCAGCUGACCUUGGACACCCCCUCUUCCACAUACCAGGAAAAGGACACUAGACUCCCUCCUCCAUCGCUCUGACCUGUAGCCAUAUCCAUCUGCAUCAAGGAUCCCUUUGUGUGAAUCUUGCUUUACAUUUCAAAAAUCCUUCUUUUUGGGAACAAGGUUUCCAUUUGUGUAUUUCUGCUGCAAGCUGAGUUCUCAGCCUUCCCCACCAAUUUCACCCUGCCAGGAGGGCUCCUGUGUAGGGUUGCCAUAUUCAAGCUUCCCAAAUCCAGGUGACCUGAUUUGCAUAUUAUGCAAAUUGUGCAGCAACUAAUUUGCAUUUUAUUUAUUUGACAGAUUUGUAUACUGCCUGCCACUACCCCAGUCUCUAAGUGGUUUAGAACAAUAAAACAAACCAACGACUGUGGAGAAACUGUGGAGCCAAUGGCAGGAGGCAAAUUCGCAGAGCCUUCCUUUCUUUCCCCUCCUCCUCUUCCCUCCCAUGUGAUCAGAUCCAGAAUAAAAUCCGGGCAAACCGG